ACGUCACGUCCGGCCCCGCCCCGCGGACGGUGGCUGACAGGCUGCGCCGCCGGUGCCCAGGGCGAUGCUGCUCCCCACGGCACUUCGGGCCCGCGUGGCUGGGGCGCCUGGGGCAGCCGAGCCGCUGCCGGUGGAGCGGAACCCCGAGGCCCGAGCGGCGCCCUUCCGCUUCGUACCGCGUCUGGUGCGUUUCCCGAGGGAACAUGAGUUCUUCGAGGAUGGGGACGUGCAGCGGCACCUGUACCUGCAGGAUGUGCUUACACAGGUGGCCGAGGCGCCAGAGAAAUCCAGGGUGCCUGAGUUCACCUGUCAGGUGGCUGGCUGCUGCCAAGUGUUUGCUGCUCUGGAGGACUACCAGCACCAUUACCAUAUGAUGCACGGGAAUGCCUGCUCACUGUGUAGCCGGGCCUUCCCCUCUGAGCAUUUGCUGGAUACCCACAUUCUGGAGUGGCAUGAUUCACUCUUCCAGAUCCUGGCAGAAAGACAAGACAUGUACCAGUGCUUGGUUGAAGGCUGCCCUGAGAAAUUCAAGACCACGCAGGAUCGGAAGGAUCACAUGGUGAGGCUCCAUCUCUACCCUGCAGAUUUCCGGUUUGAUAAGCCCAAGACUAACAGAGGCCCAGCCACGCCAGAGACUGUUGCAGACCUGUCCACCAGAACCCUGGCGGAUGAUGGGGAUGCUAUGGAAGUCUGCUGUGAACCCACGUCACUGACCCCAGCACGAGUGGGUGAGAGGCGGACCUACAAUCACAGAAUACCUUCUACCAUCUGUUUCGGCCAGGGUGCAUUGAGAGGGUUUAAAAGCACCAAGAAAAGAAAUAAACACCACUGAUGGGGAGAAAGAACCAAACAUCUGAGCAGACCAGGACAGAGAAACAUAACCUCCUGCAGGAGAUGGAGGCUUCAUAGGGGAAGAGAGUUCAUUCCUCGGACUCCUGCUUGUUCUUCUUGUACAACCAAAAUAAUGCACCCCUGAUACCAGCUCCUAGCAUGACCAUUAUGAUGGUUGAGUGUGUCAACUUGAGAAGUUUGGUUGAGAAGCCUCGCUAAAUCAGCUCAGCAGUUCCAUGCCCUAGGGCAUGAGGGAUCCACCCCAGGGCGGCAAGUUGCCUGGAUGUUAUAAGGGGAAAAUGAAGGAUGCAGCUGCUUCUGUCCCUUUGGAGGAGCUUCCGUCUUCGCCUUGAGCCUUGGAUGCCAUCUCCUGCCUUGCAGCGCAGACUCUUCAGCUUCCGGUGUGGAUCCUCAAUAAGGACAAGCAUGAGACAUUGCCUUGGGCUCUAGGCCACUGGCUGGACUCAUAGAGGACAUUGUCUUGGACUUCAGGCCUUCAGCUGGACUCACGUGGGACAUUGCUAUGGGAUCCAGGCCCUUGGCUGGAUUCUUUGGAUCUCUAGUGUGCAGUUAGAUCUCUGCAUUUGACUUUUUGGGUUAAUAAUAUAAAAUAAUCCUAUAAAUCAUGUGUCCUGUAUUAAAUCUAUUUCCUUGCAAACCCUGACUACAGCAAAAUUGGUACCAGGAGUGAGGCCAUCCCUGUGAUGUUGCCUGGCUAUGUGGUUUAAGCUUAAAAGCUUCGGGAAUCAAACUGGAAAGGUUUUGAGAGACAGACCAAAGGGGCAACCCUGGUACCUCUAAACUAUAUGGGAGACUCUGGUCAGAGCCUGGAAAAUCAAGAGUACUGUGGAAAUGCUGCCAGUGAGGAUGAGGCUCAGGAGGCUUCUCUAGAGUACCACAUUGACUGCUGGAUCCUAGCAGUGUAUGUUGUGCUUUGGCAGGAAGUUGGUCUGCAUUUUGUCUAGAGACAUUGCCUGGGAGGUGUUUAAGUGUUGUUAAAUCUUGUAUGUAAAUGGAAACCCAAAGAGUUUUAAAAUUUGAAGCCAUAAUAUGGAAAUGAGUGUAAUAAGAAUUAUAUAUAUGUAAUUAUUAUAUUAGUGUAAAUCUGAAGAGAUCAAGAUAUGUUAACUUUUCACAGAUCUAUCACUGGAGACUGGUUCAAGGAAAAGUGCCUGGUUAUCAAAUUGAUCAGGGGUAGGUUGUGCUGAAUUAAUUAAUGGUAAAUUUGGAAUGGCCAGCUGAACUGAAUCAGCAUGGUUUGGGUGUGGAAGACCUACUUGAUUGUUGCCAACAGCAUAAAAAGAGCUGGAGGGGAAGAUCGUUGGCUGUUGAUUUUCUUGGAGAAGCUUUCUGCGGGUGAUUUUCCUGAUGCGAACUUGGCUAAAGGAUCUGAGUGGAAGCCGAAGAGUCUGCACUGCAAGACGAGAUGACUAAGUCUAUGCUGCAAGGCAGAUGAUGUCCAAGGCCCAAGGUGAAGAUGGAAGCUCCUCCCAAGGAACAGAAGCAGCUGUAUCCUUCUUCAUUUCCCCUUUAUAAAAUCCAGGCAGGGAGCAUGCCCCCCCCCCGCCCGGGGGUGGACCUCUUAUGCCCUAGGGCGUAGAAUUGCUGAGCUGAUUUAGCUAAGUUUUCCUUAACUAAACUUCUCAAAUUGACACAAUCACUCAACCAUCCAACUACAUUAGCUCUUUUUAUAGCAGCAUGUUUUGCCAGACUUCUCUUGUCAGCAGUAUUGAUACCCAGAAGCACUGUGUUGUAGUCUUUGGGAAUUAUUCAUUCUGGGAUAUGGUGCCAGUAAGCUUUUCCAUUGCUGAGACACAAUAUUCAACACCCACAAUUUAAAGGAGGAAAGGUUUAUUUUGGCUUAUGGUUUCAUUGGGUUCAGUCCAUAUUCAGCAGGUUGCAAAGCAGAAAUAGUGAAGGGGCAUGGCAGAGUCAACUGCUCACCUAUGGCAGCCAGGAAACAGAGGAGCUGGGGACAAGAAUACACCCAGGUCACAUCCCCACUGACACACCUACAACCAGGCCCCACCUCCUACCAGCACAUUCAGCUGUAAACUCAUUGAUGGAUUAAUCCUUUGGUGAGUAUAGAGCCCCCAUGAUCCAAUCACCUUUCAAAAGCCCCCUCUGGGCAUAUGAGGCUUUUGAGGAACAUUUUAGAUCUAAAUUAUAACAAUCCAAUCCUAUCUUCUUACCUACCUAAAAAACUAUUUGUCGUCUGUUUUUCGCCUAACAAAGAAUGCAAAACUUAAGUGAAGAAUGUUACUGAAGCUGGUGUGAUGGUGAAGACCUAUAGUCCCAGCACUCGGGAAGCUGAGGUAGGAGGAUAACAAGUUUGAAGUCACCCUAAGCUAGAUAGUGAAACCUUGUCUUAAAAAAAAAAAGAAAAAAAGAGAAAGUACUACUGAUGAAAAAGGAAUUCUCCAUCAUAAUUAUUUGCCGUGGGCUGUCUUGUUCUCUGGGAAAGGCUCACAUCUCUGGUGUAGAAUAUGAUAUGAGCUCUAGGUGGCAAGUGGCAGAAGCACUUCUUAAGGAAAUUCAACUUGCAGACUCCUGCAGUGGUCACUGCUGCUCUUCAGGCUCCAUGAUGCCAAUCAAGAACAAGAAGAAAGAUGCCAGAAAGUCAAUCAAGAAAGAUAAUAACCCCGUGAACAAACCUGGGAGCAAACCCAAAAAGAAGUCCAAAUGCAAGGUUCAGGACAAGCUCAACAACCUGGUCUUGUUUGAUAAAGCUAUUUAUGACACACUAUAAGAAAGUUACUAGGUAUAAACUUAUAAUCCUUUAGGAUCUCCUUAGUAAAGGAUUUAUCAAGCUGGUUUUAAAGCACAGAGCUCAAGGUACUUAUACCAGAAAUACCAAGGGUGAUACCCCACCUGCUGGUGAAGAUACACGAACAGGUCCAACAACCUGUUCAUUUGGAAAAAUAAAAUUGUUAUUAAAAAAUAAAAUAAA